AUCCCAUGAUGAGGACACUUACGAAGAAAUUCCUUGAAUCUUUCCUAUGCCUCAUAUAAGGACUCGUCAUCCAAUUGUUGAAAACUAGUUAUCUCAUUUUGUAACU
rnacentral:snoRNA from 1 species